UGGGGAAUAUUGCACAAUGGGCGCAAGCCUGAUGCAGCGACCCCGCGUGCGGGAUGACGGCCUUCGGGUUGUAAACCGCUUUUGAUCGGGAGCAAGCCUUCGGGUGAGUGUACCUUUCGAAUAAGCACCGGCUAACUACGUGCCAGCAGCCGCGGUAAUACGUAGGGUGCAAGCGUUAUCCGGAAUUAUUGGGCGUAAAGGGCUCGUAGGCGGUUCGUCGCGUCCGGUGUGAAAGUCCAUCGCUUAACGGUGGAUCCGCGCCGGGUACGGGCGGGCUUGAGUGCGGUAGGGGAGACUGGAAUUCCCGGUGUAACGGUGGAAUGUGUAGAUAUCGGGAAGAACACCAAUGGCGAAGGCAGGUCUCUGGGCCGUUACUGACGCUGAGGAGCGAAAGCGUGGGGAGCGAACAGGAUUAGAUACCCUGGUAGUCCACGCCGUAAACGGUGGAUGCUGGAUGUGGGGCCCGUUCCACGGGUUCCGUGUCGGAGCUAACGCGUUAAGCAUCCCGCCUGGGGAGUACGGCCGCAAGGCUAAAACUCAAAGAAAUUGACGGGGGCCCGCACAAGCGGCGGAGCAUGCGGAUUAAUUCGAUGCAACGCGAAGAACCUUACCUGGGCUUGACAUGUUCCCGACGGUCGUAGAGAUACGGCUUCCCUUCGGGGCGGGUUCACAGGUGGUGCAUGGUCGUCGUCAGCUCGUGUCGUGAGAUGUUGGGUUAAGUCCCGCAACGAGCGCAACCCUCGCCCUGUGUUGCCAGCACGUCGUGGUGGGAACUCACGGGGGACCGCCGGGGUCAACUCGGAGGAAGGUGGGGAUGACGUCAGAUCAUCAUGCCCCUUACGUCCAGGGCUUCACGCAUGCUACAAUGGCCGGUACAACGGGAUGCGACACCGCGAGGUGGAGCGGAUCCCUUAAAACCGGUCUCAGUUCGGAUUGGAGUCUGCAACCCGACUCCAUGAAGGCGGAGUCGCUAGUAAUCGCGGAUCAGCAACGCCGCGGUGAAUGCGUUCCC
rnacentral:rRNA from 1 species